rnacentral:lncRNA from 1 species
UUGGUGAGCAAAUCUGCAGAACAAAUUAUUGUACAUGCACUCUUUGUGUUUGUCAUCUCAUUGUUUGUGUGUUUUGACGGUUGUAAGAAAUUUUUUAAAAUCAAAGUUGAACUACCAACUGGAUUCAGAUAAGAACAGAGUUACACCAACCAACUCACAAACGUUAAAGAAACUAGAAUACUAAGAAACUGAUAAGGAGAGAGGGUGGAACAGUACAUUGAACUUGAAAUAAAAUAAAAACAGAGCAAGACAGAGCAGAGUCUAAUCAGUUCCAAAUUUCUUGGACACAAAAACAUGGGUUUAGCUACUUAUUGUUGGGGGUGGCUGGUGAAGCUGCUUGUGAAGCUGAGGAUUCUUCAUUCUCUUCCUUAUUCUUCUGCUUCUGCUGCUGCUGCUGCUUGCUGAUCUUGGGAGGCUUAUUGGUGGGUUUCUCAUCGGCUGUCUGCUGCUGAACACCGAUGACGGAGUCAAUGAUAAGAUCCUCUUCGGCGAGAAUCUCCGGUGGGAGGACUUGGGACGCUUGCCUUCUGUGACGAGACAUUGGGAAUGGCGAGUUAUCUUCUUGGUUUUUGAGAGAGGGAGGGACCAAGACAGGAACAGAGGAGAAAGAGGAGGAAGUAAUUCUUUUUUUUGGGGGGUUUGGAGUAACUGUAGAGAAAGAAAGGGAUUGUUGUAAUUUAAAAGGGUUUGGCUUGGGAGGGCCUCAUGAGUAAUGAGGGAUUGAGGUCUUUUU